GGCGAACGGGUGAGUAACACGUGAGUAACCUGCCCUUGACUUUGGGAUAACUUCAGGAAACUGGGGCUAAUACCGGAUAGGAGCUCCUGCUGCAUGGUGGGGAUUGGAAAGUUUCGGCGGUUGGGGAUGGACUCGCGGCUUAUCAGCUUGUUGGUGGGGUAGUGGCUUACCAAGGCUUUGACGGGUAGCCGGCCUGAGAGGGUGACCGGCCACAUUGGGACUGAGAUACGGCCCAG
rnacentral:rRNA from 1 species